GAUGAAGAACGUAGCGAAUUGCGAUAUGUAAUGUGAAUUGCAGAUUUUCAGUGAAUCAUCGAAUCUUUGAACGCACAUUGCGCCCUCUGGUAUUCCGGAGGGCAUGCCUGUCCGAGCGUCAUUGCUGCCCUCAAGCACGGCUUGUGUGUUGGGCUCCGUCCCCCGAUCCCGGGGGACGGGCCCGAAAGGCAGCGGCGGCACCGCGUCCGGUCCUCGAGCGUAUGGGGCUUUGUCACCCGCUCUGUAGGCCCGGCCGGCGCUUGCCGAUCAACCAAAUUUUUAUCCAGGUUGACCUCGGAUCAGGUAGGGAUACCCGCUGAACUUAAGCAUAUCAAUAAGCGGAGGA
rnacentral:misc_RNA from 1 species